CUACGGGAGGCAGCAGUAAGGAAUAUUGGUCAAUGGAGGCAACUCUGAACCAGCCAUGCCGCGUGCAGGAAGACGGCCCUAUGGGUUGUAAACUGCUUUUGUACGGGAGAAAACCCUUUCACGUGUGAGAGGUUGAUAGUACCGUAAGAAUAAGCAUCGGCUAAGUUCGUGCCAGCAGCCGCAGUAAUAAGCUNGGAUUC
rnacentral:rRNA from 1 species